GGGGCCUGCUGAGUCAGUGAUGAGACGGCCUGCUGCGGAACUGAGAAGCUGACGUCACCAAGGGCAGCCUUUGAAGGGGACCCUUUGAAAGAGUUGUUUUUGCGCCGCCUGGUUUUAUCACCAGGCUACUGUUUCAAGCGGCGUCGCCGGCCGCCCCUGGGGGGAAGGGGAGCACGACGGCGAAUUCCAGAACGGGACGGCUCCUUGGAGAACGUGUCACGAGUCGCGGGUCGUCCAGUGCAGUCACGGCCUCCAACCGUGCACCAUCACGCGUGCGGACCCACAGCCCGUCAGCGGAAGUGCGGCGCGAUCGUUCCUUCGGUGGCGCGUUCGGCGGAGAGCAGUGCUGUGUUUGGCUUGACCGCCCAGAGUGCUUUGCUUUACCUCAAGUCAAAAGACGUGCUCUCCUGCCUCCCCAACCGCAACCCUGCAGUGUGCCUAGGCUGCACCCUGCGUACUGCGUUACCGCGAGGGCACGUUUUUGUUGAUUUUUUGCAUUAGAGGUUCUGACGAUGUCUAGCAACUCGUCGGCUAAUGGUGAAGACGCGGGGCCGUGCGCGGUGUGCGGUGCGCAGGGACGAGCGUGCGCGCGGUGCCGCGUAGACUUCUACUGCGGCAAGGACCACCAGCUGCAGGACUGGCCUCGCCACAAGCUGGGCUGCAGCUUCCUCGAGGUGAGU